rnacentral:rRNA from 1 species
AUUGAGAGUUUGAUCCUGGCUCAGGAUGAACGCUAGCUACAGGCUUAACACAUGCAAGUCGAGGGGCAUCGAGAUUGAAGCUUGCUUCAAUUGUCGGCGACCGGCGCACGGGUGAGUAACACGUAUCCAACCUGCCAUUCACUCUCGGAUAGCCUUCCGAAAGGAAGAUUAAUACGAGAUGGUAUCAUGAGUCAGCAUUUUCGCAUGAUUAAAGAAUUUCGGUGGAUGAUGGGGAUGCGUUCCAUUAGGCAGUUGGCGGGGUAACGGCCCACCAAACCUACGAUGGAUAGGGGUUCUGAGAGGAAGGUCCCCCACAUUGGAACUGAGACACGGUCCAAACUCCUACGGGAGGCAGCAGUGAGGAAUAUUGGUCAAUGGACGAGAGUCUGAACCAGCCAAGUAGCGUGAAGGAUGACUGCCCUAUGGGUUGUAAACUUCUUUUAUACGGGAAUAAAGUUCACUACGUGUAGUGUUUUGUAUGUACCGUAUGAAUAAGGAUCGGCUAACUCCGUGCCAGCAGCCGCGGUAAUACGGAGGAUCCGAGCGUUAUCCGGAUUUAUUGGGUUUAAAGGGAGCGUAGAUGGGUGUUUAAGUCAGUUGUGAAAGUUUGCGGCUCAACCGUAAAAUUGCAGUUGAUACUGGACGCCUUGAGUGCAGUUGAGGUAGGCGGAAUUCGUGGUGUAGCGGUGAAAAUGCUUAGAUAUUCGGAGGAACACCGGUGGCGAAAGGCGGCCUACUGGGCUUUAACUGACGCUGAGGCUCGAAAGUGUGGGGGGCAAACAGGAUUAGAUACCCUGGUAGUCCACACUGUAAACGAUGAUUGCUAGGUGUGGGGGGUCUGACCCCUUCCGUGCCGGAGCUAACGCAAUAAGCAAUCCACCUGGGGAGUACGACCGCAAGGUUGAAACUCAAAGGAAUUGACGGGGACCCGCACAAGCAGUGGAUUAUGUGGUUUAAUUCGAAGCAACGCGAAGAACCUUACCAACUCUUGACAUCCAACUAACGAGAUAGAGAUAUGUUAGGUGCCCUUCGGGGAAAGUUGAGACAGGUGGUGCAUGGUUGUCGUCAGCUCGUGUCGUGAGAUGUUGGGUUAAGUCCCGCAACGAGCGCAACCCCUGCCAUUAGUUGCUACGCAAGAGCACUCUAAUGGGACCGCUACCGACAAGGUGGAGGAAGGUGGGGACGACGUCAAAUCAUCAUGCCCCUUAUGAGUUGGGCUACACACGUAAUACAAUGGUCGGCAACAGAGGGAAGCGAAGCCGCGAGGCAGAGCAAACCCCAGAAACCCGAUCUCAGUUCGGAUUGCAGGCUGCAACUCGCCUGCAUGAAGUCGGAAUCGCUAGUAAUCGCAGGUCAGCAUACUGCGGUGAAUACGUUCCCGGGCCUUGUACACACCGCCCGUCACACCACGAAAGUUGGUAACACCCGAAGCCGGUGGGGUAACCGUAAGGAGCCAGCCGUCUAAGGUGGGGCCGAUGAUUGGGGUGAAGUCGUAACAAGGUAGCCGUAAAU